GACGAACGCUGGCGGCGUGCCUAAUACAUGCCAGUAGAACGCUGAAGAGAGGAGCUUGCUCUUCUUGGAUGAGUUGCGAACGGGUGAGUAACGCGUAGGUAACCUGCCUUGUAGCGGGGGAUAACUAUUGGAAACGAUAGCUAAUACCGCAUAACAAUGGAUGACACAUGUCAUUUAUUUGAAAGGGGCAAUUGCUCCACUACAAGAUGGACCUGCGUUGUAUUAGCUAGUAGGUGAGGUAAUGGCUCACCUAGGCGACGAUACAUAGCCGACCUGAGAGGGUGAUCGGCCACACUGGGACUGAGACACGGCCCAGACUCCUACGGGAGGCAGCAGUAGGGAAUCUUCGGCAAUGGGGGCAACCCUGACCGAGCAACGCCGCGGGAGUGAAGAAGGUUUUCGGAUCGUAAAGCUCUGUUGUAAGUCAAGAACGGGUGUGAGAGUGGAAAGUUCACACUGUGACGGUAGCUUACCAGAAAGGGACGGCUAACUACGUG
rnacentral:rRNA from 1 species